rnacentral:rRNA from 1 species
AGGUCCAGCCUGCCCAGUGAUAUUAUUCAACGGCCGCGGUAUCCUAACCGCGCGAAGGUAGCAUAAUCACUUGUUCUUUAAAUAGGGACUAGUAUCAAUGGCACCACGAGGGUUGCACUGUCUCCUCUCUCCAAUCAGUGAAACUGAUCUCCCCGUGAAGAAGCGGGGAUAAACCAAUAAGACGAGAAGACCCCAUGGAGCUUAAAAUCUAACAGCAACUUUGCCACAUAAUCCACCAUAUUUUACAGAGCCAUGCUAGCAAAUUUUAGGUUGGGGCGACCGCGGAGUAAAAAUCACCCUCCAUGACGAAAAGAACUAAACCUUUAUCUAAGAGCUACUAUUCUAAGAAUUAGCAUACUAACGACCAUGACCCGAUAAUCGAUCAACGGACCAAGUUACCCUGGGGAUAACAGCGCAAUCUACUUUGAGAGUCCAUAUCGACAAGUAGGCUUACGACCUCGAUGUUGGAUCAAGGUAUCCUAGUGGUGCAGCCGCUACUAACGGUUCGUUUGUUCAACGAU